rnacentral:misc_RNA from 1 species
GAUGAAGGAACGUAGCGAAAUGCGAUACGUAGUGUGAAUUGCAGAAUUCAGUGAAUCAUCGAAUCUUUGAACGCACAUUGCACCUCUCGGUAUUCCGGGAGGUAUGUCUGUUCGAGCGUCAUUUGUACCCUCAAGCUCUGCUUGGUGUUGGGUGUUUGUUCCGCCUCUGUGUGUGAACUCGCCUCAAAACAAUUGGCAGCCGGCGUACUUGUUUCGGAGCGCAGCACAUUUUGCGAUCCAGAUCAACGUACAGCGGCAUCCAAGAAGCCUUAUUUAACGCUCUUGACCUCGGAUCAGGUAGGGAUACCCGCUGAACUUAAGCAUAUCAAUAAGCGGAGGA